GACGAACGCUGGCGGCGUGCUUAACACAUGCAAGUCGAACGGAAAGGCCCUGCUUUUGUGGGGUGCUCGAGUGGCGAACGGGUGAGUAACACGUGAGUAACCUGCCCUUGACUUUGGGAUAACUUCAGGAAACUGGGGCUAAUACCGGAUAGGAGCUCCUGCUGCAUGGUGUGGGUUGGAAAGUUUCGGCGGUUGGGGAUGGACUCGCGGCUUAUCAGCUUGUUGGUGGGGUAGUGGCUUACCAAGGCUUUGACGGGUAGCCGGCCUGAGCGGGUGACCGGCCACAUUGGGACUGAGAUACGGCCCAGACUCCUACGGGAGGCAGCAGUGGGGAAUAUUGCACAAUGGGCGGAAGCCUGAUGCAGCAACGCCGCGUGCGGGAUGACGGCCUUCGGGUUGUAAACCGCUUUCGCCUGUGACGAAGCGUGAGUGACGGUAAUGGGUAAAGAAGCACCGGCUAACUACGUG
rnacentral:rRNA from 1 species